GGACGAACGCUGGCGGCGUGCCUAAUACAUGCAAGUAGAACGCUGAAGGAGGAGCUUGCUCUUCUGGAUGAGUUGCGAACGGGUGAGUAACGCGUAGGUAACCUGCCUGGUAGUGGGGGAUAACUAUUGGAAACGAUAGCUAAUACCGCAUAAUAACAGUUGUUGCAUGACAACUGUUUGAAAGGUGCAAUUGCAUCACUACCAGAUGGACCUGCGUUGUAUUAGCUAGUUGGUGGGGUAACGGCUCACCAAGGCGACGAUACAUAGCCGACCUGAGAGGGUGAUCGGCCACACUGGGACUGAGACACGGCCCAGACUCCUACGGGAGGCAGCAGUAGGGAAUCUUCGGCAAUGGACGAAAGUCUGACCGAGCAACGCCGCGUGAGUGAAGAAGGUUUUCGGAUCGUAAAGCUCUGUUGUAAGAGAAGAACGAGUGUGAGAGUGGAAAGUUCACACUGUGACGGUAUCUUACCAGAAAGGGACGGCUAACUACGU
rnacentral:rRNA from 1 species